rnacentral:lncRNA from 1 species
GAAUAGCAGCCUUGGGGAAAGUGAGCAGAUGCUUCAUCUCUGCAUGUAGAUACAGCUACAACCAGAAUCCAGUAGUGUAGCCAGCUUACGCUGCAUACAACAGCUUCUGUGUGCUAACAACAAGUGCUUUCUAAACCUAGAAGUGUCAUCUCCCUGUAAGAACUGGGAAAAUGGAGGCAUGGAGAACACUGGAAGCUGCCCAUGGUCACACAACUGCUACUAAAACACUGAGCCUUUGCAUCAUGGUCCCUGAAAGCAGUGGAUCAUGGCACACGUCUUCUAGCCCACGUGACAAAGGCUCUAGCCAAAAGGACCAGAUGGAAUGGAUUUUUCAGAUUUCCAGAAUGAAGCCCCACAACCACUGGACUUAAACUCACUGACUUGGAUGCAAGAACUCUCUUGUUGUCCCCGCUCUUUAGGCGCACUGAUAGGCUCCAGAAGAAGAGAGAGAGAGAGGUUUUGUGCCUGAGAGCCCCAACCAAGGAGCAAGAGGGAGUUUGGGAUUUUGUUU